rnacentral:misc_RNA from 1 species
CCAGCGCUCCAACAACACAAAACUUGUCAACAUGCAAAAAGUGGCCACGCUUUACUUUUCCCAUUAGCUGAUGAAAGGAUCUUCAAGAACAAGUUAUGCAAUUUACAGAUAUGCUUGCUUACAAUCUGAGCAAAAAGAAACAAGACAGUGACUGAUAAAGUGAUGAAAAAAAAUGGAAUUUUACAAUAGCAAUGAACUGUUGUCAUCCUUUAACAUGCUGGAGAAAUGGAGCAUUUCCACGGCAACAACGAUUUGUACUUUGUCGUCAAUUGAAAGUUGAAACAUGGUCAAGGAAUAGCUUGACCUCAUAAUUUGUUUGCAGAGCAUCAAACCAUCAGAACAAAUUAAUCAAUGCAGACAUAGAUGACGCACUCUAUCUCUAUCCCAUCUGUAUGGAACGGCUUCCCACAUCCAUCAUAUUUAGCAAGGCUUUCUCUUGUCAACUUUUAAGUGGAUAUUGAACCAUUUCUUUUUCUUAGUUCUAUCCUUCAUUGAAGCUUUCUUAUCUCUCAAUUGUCCUUCUUCUUUGGUCUCCCUGAAGAGGCCCUUACUCCUGCUCUUACUUGUACUCCGCUUCAUCUGGGGAGCAAUUGUGUACGAGGCAUGAAUUUCAUUCCAUUGUUUAAGCAGCUCGUCAAUCUCUUGCAUUUCUUGCGUAUAUCUACUGGUCAUUUCUGUAAAUUGUGCCAACACCUCUCUGUAUUCAUUUUCAAACUUGGAUAUCUCUACCCUUUUUGUAAGAAUUCGAGCUUCAACAUCUCUAAGAUUUUCUUUUUC